CAACAUGCAAUAUAAUCUUUGCCAAAUUUUUUGUGUAUAAGUGAAUAGUUUGAAAUACUCACAGGCAAAACAAGAGUCAUUUUGCAUUCCUAUCCAUAUUUUAUAUGAUAAAUUUUCUCAUUAAAGGGAAACCAUACCCUGAAUGUAACAAUCGUUAUAUUGGGACUAAAGGUUCCCUACUGUUUAAGCUCCUUUACUUAGUAAAAUGUAAGUGAAAUAAAGAUUACUUAGCUCCUUUCCAACACCAGGACUCCUCAGCGGAAACCCCAGUUCCUUUUUUUGUUGAUGUCAGCAUCCAAGCUGACAUCACUUGCAAUCUAGAGAAGCAAUGGAUUUGAACUAGGCUUGCGUAACCGCAGUUCUCCAAUCAAAUGCUGCUGUCAGCAGCAUUUCAUCCUAGGGCCGAGUUUCACUCAGUUCUGGAGUUGGAAGCACCUCUAGUGACAGUUAGGAAGACAGUUACUAGAGGUGAGUUUACCCUGCAAUGAAAACGGUGCUGCAUCUACUAAACAGCAACAUUUUACACUUCAGGAUAAAAUGGCAGGACGACUGCACAAAGACCACUUCAUUUAGAUGAAGUGAUCUUGGUGCCUUUAGUGGUCCUUUAAUCCCAAGAUAUAGGAUCAGUUCUAGAAAUCACUGCAUAUUUUUGUUUCCAUUGCAUUCUAGACAUAAAUGUAUGCACAAACCUGACAGCGGUCUCAAACUGACGUGAACAUACCCAUUUUUCAAAUAGAUUAAAAAUUAGAUUUCUUGUGCUUGUCUGAUAUAAGUAUGGCAGCUUGCAAUUCCUAAACAAGGGUCUCUACUUUCUGUCUGUAAAUUAAUACUGUAUUGGAGGAGGUGCAAGGAAGCAGCACCUUCAGAAUGUCCUUAAAUCCAUGUAGAGAUGAAGCAAUAUGUAAGAUAGGAGGACUAGUAUCUAUAGUAACUGAUUAAUUAGAUAAGAGGAAUAACACUUACGAUUUUCUGGAUCUUAUGAUCAGCUCCAGAUAUGUGCCCCGGCGGUAUAGUCCACUCAAAGGACACUUUGAGAAAGCCUAAAUGUUAUGCGAAAUGCGUU